rnacentral:rRNA from 1 species
AUACUGCAAGUCGAGCGGAAGAAGGGAGCUUGCUCCCGGAUGUUAGCGGCGGACGGGUGAGUAACACGUGGGUAACCUGCCUGUAAGACUGGGAUAACUCCGGGAAACCGGAGCUAAUACCGGAUAGUUCCUUGAACCGCAUGGUUCAAGGAUGAAAGACGGUUUCGGCUGUCACUUACAGAUGGACCCGCGGCGCAUUAGCUAGUUGGUGAGGUAACGGCUCACCAAGGCGACGAUGCGUAGCCGACCUGAGAGGGUGAUCGGCCACACUGGGACUGAGACACGGCCCAGACUCCUACGGGAGGCAGCAGUAGGGAAUCUUCCGCAAUGGACGAAAGUCUGACGGAGCAACGCCGCGUGAGUGAUGAAGGUUUUCGGAUCGUAAAGCUCUGUUGUUAGGGAAGAACAAGUGCAAGAGUAACUGCUUGCACCUUGACGGUACCUAACCAGAAAGCCACGGCUAACUACGUGCCAGCAGCCGCGGUAAUACGUAGGUGGCAAGCGUUGUCCGGAAUUAUUGGGCGUAAAGGGCUCGCAGGCGGUUUCUUAAGUCUGAUGUGAAAGCCCCCGGCUCAACCGGGGAGGGUCAUUGGAAACUGGGAAACUUGAGUGCAGAAGAGGAGAGUGGAAUUCCACGUGUAGCGGUGAAAUGCG